UGAACGCUGGCGGAAUGCUUUACACAUGCAAGUCGAGCGGCAGCGCGGGGCAACCUGGCGGCGAGCGGCGAACGGGUGAGUAACAUAUCGGAACGUACCCUAUCGUGGGGGAUAACACAUCGAAAGAUGUGCUAAUACCGCAUACGACCUGAGGGUGAAAGCGGGGGAUCGCAAGACCUCGCGCGACAGGAGCGGCCGAUAUCGGAUUAGCUAGUUGGUGAGGUAAAGGCUCACCAAGGCGACGAUCCGUAGCUGGUCUGAGAGGACGACCAGCCACACUGGAACUGAGACGCGGUCCAGACUCCUACGGGAGGCAGCAGUGGGGAAUUUUGGACAAUGGGCGCAAGCCUGAUCCAGCCAUGCCGCGUGAGUGAAGAAGGCCUUCGGGUUGUAAAGCUCUUUCGGCGGGGAAGAAAUCGCACGGGUUAAUACCUCGUGUGGAUGACGGUACCCGAAUAAGAAGCACCGGCUAACUACGU
rnacentral:rRNA from 1 species